rnacentral:rRNA from 1 species
GUGGGGAAUCUUAGACAAUGGGGGAAACCCUGAUCUAGCCAUGCCGCGUGAUCGAUGAAGGCCUUAGGGUUGUAAAGAUCUUUCAGGUGGGAAGAUAAUGACUGUACCACCAGAAGAAGCCCCGGCUAACUCCGUGCCAGCAGCCGCGGUAAUACGGAGGGGGCUAGCGUUGUUCGGAAUUACUGGGCGUAAAGCGCACGUAGGCGGAUUGGAAAGUUGGGGGUGAAAUCCCGGGGCUCAACCCCGGAACUGCCUUCAAAACUCCCAGUCUUGAGUUCGAGAGAGGUGAGUGGAAUUCCGAGUGUAGAGGUGAAAUUCGUAGAUAUUCGGAGGAACACCAGUGGCGAAGGCGGCUCACUGGCUCGAUACUGACGCUGAGGUGAGAAAGCGUGGGGAGCAAACAGGAUUAGAAACCCUGGUAGUCC